GAAAUGCGAUAAGUAGUGUGAAUUGCAGAAUUCAGUGAAUCAUCGAAUCUUUGAACGCACAUUGCGCCCCUUGGUAUUCCAUGGGGCAUGCCUGUUCGAGCGUCAUUUGUACCUUCAAGCUUUGCUUGGUGUUGGGUGUUUGUCUCGCCUCCGCGUGUAGACUCGCCUCAAAACAAUUGGCAGCCGGCGUAUUGAUUUCGGAGCGCAGUACAUCUCGCGCUUUGCACUCAUAACGACGACGUCCAAAAGUACAUUUUUACACUCUUGACCUCGGAUCAGGUAGGGAUACCCGCUGAACUUAAGC
rnacentral:misc_RNA from 1 species